CUGUUCAACUUGCAAGAAUACCCCUAAAGCGGACAAAUAUCCGACAAGCAGUUUAUUCUUUAAAUUGCUGUCAUUGAAUAUCAAGAAAGAAAAUAAAUCCCGAAAUUGAUACUCAAUAGUUUUCCUAGAAAAUAUUCACAUCCCUUGGGGAUUAUUAGUGUACGUCCAGUUGCAUAUAUUUUACAUGAAUGUUGGAACAAUUGUGAUGAUGACGAAUUUCGUCCUUUAUUCGAGAACAAUCUAAUUGAUAUAUAAAUCUGUGAGUUUACUAUGUUCUUAACUUCGAUGAACCAAAGCAAGUUAUAAAUUGACCUGUAUUUAAAUCAAAUUGUUUCUUUUUUUUCUUCUUCUUCUUUUUGGUAUACAAUAGUCUAUCGAAUUCGUUGAUUACAUACUGUUGGCAUACGUGGACUAGUCUAUUUACAAAACUUUUACCACAAUUUACACAAAAUGUAUGUUUCUUUCUUAUGUUCAAUGUAUACAUGUAUACAUAUUUUAAAUUGCGCUACUGACUAUAGUUCCGUAACUUUCUACCCAGGCGUAUGUAUACACGAAUCGUCGACAAGUGCGCACAUUUUUUUUAAAUCAAUAAUUCUGGUAUGUUCCAAUCUGUCCUAAACUAUUGACAACGAGUAUAUAUUAUUACAUUUUCCCAAAUUAACCCUUGGAAAAAUAUGUAAAUAGAUUUGUAUUUCUUCAAUUUUUUUUUUGUAUUAUUUUUUUUUAUAAAUAAUAUUCUUUAC
rnacentral:lncRNA from 1 species